CUUGAUUGGACAGCGGGCCGGUAUCCACUUUCCCGAUUGGCCGGCCGCUUCCCCUGAGCGAACCUUUAGAACUCUGAGACACAAUAUUCUGUUACAUUGUAGCAAAAUGGCGACUGUCAUUCACAACCCCCUGAAAGCGCUUGGGGACCAAUUCUACAAAGAAGCCAUAGAGCACUGCCGCAGCUACAAUUCCCGGCUCUGUGCUGAACGCAGCGUCCGUCUUCCUUUCCUGGACUCGCAGACUGGCGUAGCUCAGAAUAACUGUUACAUUUGGAUGGAAAAGAGGCAUCGGGGACCAGGACUAGCACCAGGUCAGCUCUAUACAUAUCCUGCUCGUUGCUGGCGCAAAAAGAGACGUUUGCAUCCUCCUGAAGACUCCAGGUUGAAGUUGUUGGAGAUUAAACCUGAAGUUGACCUGCCUCUGAAGAAAGAUGGUUUCACAUCAGAGGGGACUACACUGGAAGCCUUGUUGCGUGGAGAAGGGCUUGAAAAGAAGGUAGAUACUAAAGAGGAGGACACUCUACAAGAAAUCCAGAGGGUUUUGGAAAAUGAUGAAAAUGCAGAUGAAGCGAAUGAGGAGGAAGAGAUGGAAGAAGAUAUUCCAAAACGAAAGAACAGACCCAGAGGACGGGCCCGGGGCUCUGGAGGUGGCAGGCGAAGGAACGAUGUUUCUUCUAUGGACGACCAUGAUAAACCUUACGUUUGUGACAUCUGUGGCAAGCGCUAUAAGAACAGACCAGGACUGAGCUACCAUUAUGCUCACACUCACCUUGCCAGUGAGGAGGGGGAUGAUGCUCGGGAGCAAGAGACACGCUCUCCACCUGUCCACAGAAAUGAAAAUCACAAACCCCAGAAAGGACCAGAUGGGGUCAUCAUUUCCAAUAACUACUGUGACUUCUGCCUUGGAGGAUCUAAUAUGAAUAAAAAAAGUGGACGACCAGAGGAACUUGUAUCAUGUUCAGACUGUGGGCGCUCUGCUCAUUUGGGAAGAGAAAGCAGGAAGGAAGAAGCCGUGACAGCAUACACUACAGAGGACUUGUUUGGUUCCACAUCUGAAAGCGACACCUCGACUUUUCAUGGCUUUGACGAAGAUGAUUCAGAAGAGCCUGUCUCAAACCAGAGCAGCUGCUCCCCGUCUGCAAAGAAAAAGGGCAGCUGCUAAAAUAACUACUCACACACAAACUCUAUGAGCUAUUUCCUGCCCUUUUUGCUACUUUUUCUCUUAUUAUUGUUCUUGCAUUUUUUUUUUUAUUAGACCCACUUUCACCGUUAGGUAUGUACACUGAAAGCACAACAGACUGAAACUUUAGAAAACGUCUUUGAAAAAAUGUUUUGCCUAUUUUUUCAUGAUUAUUCCCCUCUUUCUUUCUCUCUGCAAGCUUGAAAUGUGGGUGCCCUUUUUUUAAAAGUAAAUAAAUAAAUAGAACAGAGCUAAUUUUCUCAACGUUUAAUAUAUAGAUACAAAAAUAAUUCAGAAAGGGUUGGACACCAGGAACCCACCUCAAAUAGUGUUUUGAAAUAUUUAUUUAUAUAUUCUAUAUAUUAGAAAAAAGACUUUUGAGAUUAAGGAAAAAAGCAAUGAAGUCUACUUGAUAAUCUAAGUGUACAGAAAGAGAAACAGCUGUGGUAUGGAUUAUUCCAGAUGAAAAGGAAACCCUAACCUUUGCCAGUGUGACUUUUGCACUGCGAAAACUUUGCAUUUACUGUAGCACACUGGAUUUUGUGACUUCCCCCUUCGUACUCCUGCGGUCUUCACCUUUAACCAUUUCAAAAGGCAAGGAAAAUCAACAAAGACCAUGAAGAAAUUUCCUGCCUCCUUCCUUUGGACCCAUACAUACUCUUUCAAGAAUGCCUCAUCUCUCCCACCUUGGCAUCUUUUUACCAGGCGCUGCUUUUUGCUUUGGUUCUUCUUCACCUGCUACAUUGUGGAACGGUAUUUCCAAGCACAGGGAUGGAAUACAACCAUCAUCACCAAUUCUGCAAAGAUGAAACAAAGGAUGUGAAUCUUGAAAGAAAUGAAAAGGAAAAAAAUACCUCAAGUUGCUUUUAUUUUACUUUUUUUAAAACAAACAAACAAACCAAUCCCCCCCAUUUAGUCUUAUUUUUGAUAGCUCCUCUUGAAAUAAACCAAAGCAAUACUCACUAAUCUUCAAAGGGCAGCAGAGAAGACAGAAACUCUCUCUCUCAUUUGCUAUUUCAGCAGCAUGGAACUGAGCGGCAGGAUUUUAAAGAUAACGUUCCUGCGCUCACUUGGAUUCUGAACCUUUCAAGAAAACUGUUGAAGAAGUCAACUAAGAGUAGCCAGGAUGCUCUGAUCUUCCUCUCAUUGCCUGAUCCUUUUACACCUGUGUCUCAUCCCACACAGGAGCCUGGACUGUGGGAUGCCUGCUGGCACUUGCUCAGAGAAGUCUUGGGGUUUCCCUAAGCUUGUGCAAUACAAAGAAAACUCUUGUCCCCCCCUUUUUUUUAAGGCAACCCCUUUCUUUUAAGUGUUGUGUGAGUUUGUGUGUAUGUGUGUAUAUAAAAGCCCAGGUCAAACUGGAACUGGUUGACAAUAAAAGUGACUGAAAACAACAAACAAAUGGGGAAAAAACUUGACAGAAAAACCAGAACAAGUUAUUUUAUUUAUUUCAAUAUUUAAGCGAGAAAAGUAGUGCUGAUGUUGCACAGUAUUUUUGUUUAAAAUGCAUUUUACUUCAAAAUCUAAGAGAAUUUUUUGUGAAGGGGGACUUUUUCAAAAGCGCUUACUGUAAGAUAAAGACUGCCUAUUUGCUUUCAGGAGAAACUUUUUUUUAAGUUAUGAAAAUAAAGAACUCUGUUCUCUCUUUAAAGAUGCCAUUUGUACACUUGCUGGUUGUUGGUUUUUUUUUUUUAAGGUGGAUGUGGUAAGUUAAAAGUUGUUCUGGCUCAUUUUCCUGAAUGUCUGCUAAUGUUUCCACUUGGAUGUAUUAUAUUAGGCAAAGACACCCUGAACAAAAUACUUUGAAAAGGAAAUGCUGGAAUCUGGACAGUUGUUGUAAUAAGGACUAUCAGUACAGUCUACCCAGGACUAUAGACUAAUAGAAGAUUUAGGCAAUAAUGCCACUGAACUAGAUGAUUUUAAAAGGAAGAGAGAUUCUAUCAUCUGCAAAGUUGUAUUCUUGAGUAGAUAAUUCAUGGUGAUACUAACAGCUGCUUGCAAAAAACAGUGUAAGCAAUUCAAAAUUGAGUAAUUGAAACUAUCCAUUUGGAGAUAAACCUGAAUCUUUAAAACUGUUCCAAGGGGUAUUUGAAACAAUAUUUAGUAUUGAAAGAAUAUUUAGCACCAGAUGGGGACAUUACAAAUAUUAACCUUCUUUUUCCAGAAGUAUACCAGAGUUUAUACAGUGGGAUUUAGCCACAGGUCAUAGUUGUUCUCGCCAUUCUUAGGAUCAAUGUGUGACAAACUGACAAUUGGUGCUUAUGUGAUGAUGUUCAAAAAGUCAUCCUGUGAAGAGUUGCAUUGGAAUAGUGUGUCCUUGUAAGUUUGCUGGGAAGAAUGUAUGAGCAACAUCCCUGAUUCCAAGAGAUCCACAAUUGUUUCUGGGGAAAUGUUGCUUAGAUAACCCAUUCUGAUGCAACUUUUCUAUGUAUAUAUACUCACCAUAUGAUGUCAAAAAGUUCAUUGUGUGAAUAGAUGGCAAUGCCUUGGAAGUGUACCAUGCAGUGCAAUUCUAUGCAUGUUUACUGGGAAGUAGGUCUUACUGAGUUACAAUGGGACUUACUCCCUAGUAAGUGUGCCUUGGAAUGCUUAGUCUGAUAUAUGACUUGGUUUUCAGUAAUACUAAUUAAAGGUGGUGCAAGAUCAUUCUCUUAGGAUUUGAAUGUGAAAUCUUUCUGAAAUUCUGGGUACAACCCUCUCUGCCGCUGCACAGUCACCAGAUAUUUCCAUUGGGCUUGCUCAGGAGACCAGGGAAGUGAAGCCACAGUGAAAUAUAUUAAAGCUGCACAUCAGUGGUGCUGCAAAUGUUGCACACCUGGUUGCUCUCUCAGGGAUGCUGGUUACUAGGGCAAUAUUGAAUCUACCCAAGAAAAAGCACCACACAUGUUCAACGGAGUAGGUCAAAUCUGCAUCCCGGAAUCAAUCCAAUCUGAGGAGCUAGAGCCUCAGUACAUUGCACACUAAAAUCAAUGGCAGAACUCUUAUUGGGUUCUAUGGGAGAAGAUGCAGAGCUGUAGAAAGUUACUUCAAUCAAUUUCACUUGGAAAUAUGCAGACUACAAUUAUGCUGCCAUUUCUUUUCUUUUUUUAAAAAAAUCCCAUUAGAUUCAAAAUGCACAUCCGUAUUGAAAAGCUGCAAACUGUACUAAUUUGUAUUUUGUGUUCAUAUAAAAUCUACUUCCAAGGCACCUCCUGUAUACUUCUCUGUAAAUAUUUAGUUACCCAAGUUUUUUUUUAAAAAAAAAGAAUCUGUGAAACUGCAAUUACUGUACAUAGUUUUAAAAGGUCCUCAUUGUUUACAAUGCUGUCCUCCAUGCUGAAAAUAAAACUUCCUUCUCUA